ACAAUUCUUCAGUCUGAUUUUCCAUCGAAUGCAAACACAGCCGUGUUAACAUGAGAAAGAAAAGUGAGGAACAAUGUGACGAUAUCUGUUUAUCAGAGACAGCAUUUUUCUGAGACAGAAUAGCCAAAUGAAAUGGGAAAGACUUAUCCAAGAGCUCAAAGACACCAAAAAGCAGCAGAGAAAGCAGAAAUCCAUGAAGGGAAUGUAUCUCAACAGGGGGAAAGGGACCACCAGAGAGCUGGAGCGGCUGAGAAAGUACAGCGAUGAGUUAACUCUCAGCAACGCAAAGAUAGAUACUCAGAUGUGGAACUUAAAGGUAUUGAGCUGGUGGUGGAUGUUUCCUGUACAAACUAUUUUCACCACCUUUAAAAACCAAUGACUUCCUGAAAACCGUGAGAGACGUUGAAUCCACCAUCAUCAUAUACAUGCGCUGACCGUUUAGGAGAGAGCUGGUUACCUUUUGAGCGAUGGAGGAGAUCUAUGCAAAUGUUGAUUACAACAAGCCUGUCGACCCAACACCUUCAACAAAUCAGACAGGUAAGAAUGCUCACUCACACACAUGGGUUGUGCAUAUUGAUGUUGUGUAUUAUCCUGUGUUAUGAUCAUGAUAUCAUGUCCUCUCUGUGUUCAGGUCCCAGGAGCUCAGAGAGGAGGCUUCAUGGAGCCGUGGUUCUCUGUCUGGGGCUGCUCAGUGUUGUCCUGCUGGUUGGACUCAUCAGCCUCGGUGUCUCCUACUGGGAUUUAGCUGCAGAACACUCCACUGUCAAAGCCAACCUGACGGAGCGUCUCCAGGCCAGUAAUGACAAGCUGUCCUCUGUGUCUGAAGAGAGAGACCUGCUGAAUGCCAACCUCACUUCAGUGUCCAAAGAGCUGGACAGACUUCAGAGUUUGUCCAAACAGAUGGAUGUAUGGCUAUGGCUCGCGGUGAUGCUUUUGUUCAACCAUACCAGUUUGACCCAGAACUGGACCCAGAAGGAGAGGCUCCUGAGGAAGUACAGACCUUGUGGCUGCAGCAGGAUGUUUCAGAAUGAGAGAACUUGUCCUGCAGGAUGGCAGAUGUUCAGUAUCACCUGCUAUCUCUUCUCCACUAAGACUGAUUCUUGGGAAAAUGGCAGACAAGACUGCAGAGACAGAGGAGCAGAGCUGGUGACCAUUGACACUGAUGAAGAACAGGAAUUCAUCUCUAAAAUCAUCAAGGAAGAUACUUGGAUUGGUUUGAAUGACAGAGACAAGGAGGGGACCUGGAGAUGGAUAGAUGGAACUCCGCCGACUGUGGUGUACUGGUUUGAAACACAGCCUGAUAAUGGUGGUGGAAACCCAAAGUGGGGCGAAGAGGACUGUAUACACCUCAUAUUUGUGCCAACGGGCUGCAGGCAGAAUUCCAUCACCUUGACUGCAGGGCGGUGCUGCGCAGACCUAUAUCUGCUGGGCCUGAGCGGGUGGCUGACAGAUCCCUUUGGUGGCGGUCCCCUUCACUUCCUUUUUCAGCAGCGUGCAAUGUGGUGUGAUCUGAUGGUGUGUGUGUGUGUGUGUGUGUGUGUGUGUGUGUGUGUGUGUGUGUGUGUGUGUGUGGGUUUUCCUGUUUGGUGUGUCUCAUUGGACCCCUUCCCCUCUCCAUCAGCUAGUCACCUUUGAUGGGAGGCCCACAGCCCUGCGCACUAGACCUUUAAUUUUGAUUAUACUUUUGAGUGAAGGUUAUGUGGCCAAAAGAAUAACUGUGCAAUAUUGGGCUAAAAGGGUAACUGUGCAAUAAAAUGUACAAACUCUCCACCAGACUAUAAUACUUUUAAAGAAUUGUGUUCAUUUAAAGAGCUUAAAUAAACUUGUGUGUUUUUGGAAGCACAUGAGUGAUUUUGGACCUGUGACCUUUUCUGUGGAGUACCAAAGUGGUUGUAUCCACCUAAAAUAUAUCCUGGGGGUGAAAUUCCCCUAGUUGGUGUUGUUGGAUUUAAACUUUAAGUUGAUUUAAAAUGUAAACCCUUGCUGCUUUGCCACAAUAAGUAGAGAGCAUAGGCUAACCCAUAAGCCAGAGGGAAAUGCCUAUAGGUGGUACCAGAAGAGCACAACUCUGGAUGAGAGGAUUCCUUUCAGCAGCAUCAAGCAAUAUAUGCGAGGUAAGUCAAACCCAUGGGGAUUCAAAGUGUGGGUGAGAACUGGAAUCUCUGGUGUGACUUCAGUUUCUACCACGGCAGUGUCAGUGGAAUACGAGCCAAAUCUGAACUUGGAUUGUCAGGUCAUGCUGUGAUGAAGCUUGCUUCCACACUUCCAGAUGUAACCUUUAAGAAGACUUUGUUUCAGGCCUGAGUGGUGGGAGGAGGUGAAGAGAGCAGUGGACUGGCUCUGCUGGGCUGACCGGCUGCCCAUUACUGGUCCACUGAGCAGACAAACAAAAUGCAUAGCUGUAGCCUUGUUAGAGGAGAGAAGGUAAAAACUUUAAACUAGAAAUGUUUUCAAACACAAUGGAACUCAUUUGUUUGCCUUACCUGCUGUUAAAUAACUAAAUACAGUUGGCUUUCUGCAGUUAGCAGAUUUCUUAAAGUUCCCAUGAAACGUAUAGUGCACUGCUGUCGGCUGCGGCAUGGUUGCGUGUCCUGUAAAAACAGCAGCAAGAAAGGGGCACGUCCCGAAUAUUGAUUGACGUUUACAAUAGUUGAUAGUGCCUAAUGUGCAUUACUGAAUCUGGCCAGACAAGCAAUCUAAGUGAACACAGCUGAACCAGUGCAUGUCCACAGGAUCCAUCGUUUCCACGCUUACCAUUCAUUGUCUGUGUGUAACCGGAUCAACCUUGUGUGUUGAAUCAAAUGUGUAUAUAAUUACACAAAAUCUGUUACUGCCUGACAAGAAAAUGCCUCCAAAUCCAUUAUGUGUAGACUGUGUAUGUAGCUCGGAGCGCCUACUCUUGAAUUUCUUCUUCUGUGGUCCCUGCUAUAAAUGCCCACCUCUGCCCUUUCGUACAAUGUUCCUGUAGGAGAGGUGGGUGUCAUUGUUUCAUUCAGUUGAUAAUCACCCUAAACCAUCUUAUUGUUUCACUUUGUUUAUUAUAUGUAUUUCUGGGCUCUGUCAUUGUCUUGGUAUCAUGUCUUUGUAUCAUGUCUUGUGUCAUGUUUUGUUUUUCCAUGCCCUCUUGUGUCUCUUGUCCUUUAAGU